rnacentral:lncRNA from 1 species
UUCUUUCCAUUUAGGGAGAUCUCCUAGCUAAAAUGACAUCAGCCAUAAAUGUGGGAACAUGUGCCGUCUAUGACGCCCUACUUAAACCAGCGUCCACGACCACUUCCUUCCCAAGCUCUACUCUUCUUCUUUUCCUCGACAAUGGCUCGUCCAUGUUUGAAAAUUCAUCCAAAAGAUGCAGGGUUGGUACUGAAGAUGCUUCCUCCCUCAUGACUAUGUCCUGAGAGCAACCUUCCACUUGAAUCGGUUGAGGAUGAC